rnacentral:rRNA from 1 species
GCUCAAGGCAAUAUCAACCUGAAUGGCCCCCCUGAUCUUGUCUGAUCACAGAGGCUAGGAAGGUCAAGUUACCUGGUUAGUACUUGUAUGUGAGGCUGCCUGGGAAUGCCAGGUGCUGUAGGCU